UUAGAAUCCACCACUUAUUUACAAACUCCUGUCAUGACUUCCUGGGAAAGGAUCCCUCCUGACAGGUACACCUCCACGGCACAGGUCCAGGAAUCCCUGAAUGGUUUCAGUCUGGUUUGUUGCCAACAGGAAAGAAACAGAGAGUGGAGGGUUGGAGAAUCUGUGCUGACUCCCUCCUGCUCUCAGUCUCACUCCUCCUAAAGUCAGUGGCCUGCAUACCUGGGGACUCCCUCCUCCACCUCGGUCGAUACUUCAGUCACUCUCUUCCUCCUCUCUUCCUGCACAGAUGGGUUGAGCGAAGGUGUGCUACCCAUGGGAAAGAGCAGGAAAGGCAGCCAGUCGGACUGGUAGAGUCAGCUUGGAAAAGAACAAACCCUGCAGAGGAAGGGAGCAGCUACAGUAUCUAAGGAUUGUAAAAUCUCCUCAAAUAAAUUUGACGGAACCAUUAAAAAAAAAAAAAAAAAAAGCUCUAAGUUGUU